rnacentral:rRNA from 1 species
GUGCCAGCAGCCGCGGUAAUACGAAGGGGGCAAGCGUUGUUCGGAAUUACUGGGCGUAAAGGGCGCGCAGGCGGCUAUGUAAGUCAGAUGUGAAAGCCCCGGGCUCAACCUGGGAAUAGCAUUUGGGACUGCAUGGCUAGAGAUCGGGAGAGGAGAGUGGAAUUCCCAGUGUAGAGGUGAAAUUCGUAGAUAUUGGGAAGAACACCGGUGGCGAAGGCGGCUCUCUGGACCGAUACUGACGCUGAGGCGCGAAAGCGUGGGGAGCAAACAGGAUUAGAUACCCUGGUAGUCC